ACCUUUUUAAAAUCAAACAGGAAGAAUCUAGAUAGAGAUCUCUUCUAGAAUUUUACUAAAUAACAUUGUACUAGAACUACCUUUUCUAGAAUAUUUCUAGACUUCUCUCUCCAGAAUACUCAUUCUGGAGAUCUUUCUUCAAUUCUCUACAACUGCGGAAUAUUUUACAUUUUUUUGGACUUGUCAUAAAUAAAUAAUUAGGUUGGUGAGAAAUCAACCCACUAAUACAGAAAAGGAAAUUGAAUCCUUUCACAGAAGCCCCUUAUAUUUUUAUCUAGAUAGUAUUGUGGGGUAAAAAAGGGAAAUUGCUCAUGAAUAUCGUGAAGAGAGAACUAAAGGUAACUUCAAUACGCAACUUAAGAAAACUUCCAAAUCUAAUGAAUUUGAAAAUAGAAAAUGCAAAUAUGAAAUGAGGGAUAUGCAUUGUUUAGUUAAUCAUCAUAUAUCAUAUCAUAUAUCUAUAUAAAAUAAAACCUUAGGAUCGUCUACGUGACGCCAACACAAACAAGAAUUUUCUUUUUACUUAUUAAUUUCCAAAACUAGCCUUCGUCUUUCAUUAAAAGUUGUGAGAUUUAUGAAAUUUUUUGACUUUUAUGAAAAGUUGCUAUUUUUAUGAAAAGUUGUGACUUCUACGAAAAGGUGCGAAUUUAAAGAAUAGUUGAGACUUUUAUGUAAAGUGGUGAUUUUUAUGAAAGUUUGUCACCUUACAGUAGGGUUGCAACUUUUCCAAAUAGUUGUAACAUUUCCGAUAAGACACAAUAAAUAUUUGUUCAAACUACCCUUUGUUGUCAAUAAAUAAAGGGAUUUCCUCUCAUUUUAGAACAACGAAAAUUCUGAAUUUGUGUACUUUGCUUAUGUUGAGUGGCUCAGAGACACCAUUUUUCUUAUUAUUACAAAUUCUAGCACUUUUUUUUUACAGACAUUAAUUUGUGCUUAUGUUAUUAAGAAUAAAUGAUAAGAUGUCAUAAUUUUUAUUUUCCUUUACAUUAUUAAUGAUUGUUACUGCAUAAUCUUGUAUGUAAGAUAAUAUAGUGUUUUAUUUUUAAUGACCCGUAGAUUUUAAAAAUUCUGUAAUAUUUUCGGGAAGAAGCGGGGGUAAUUUUACUAGUACUAGCACAUGAUUCAAUUUUGCUGCCCAGACUAUAUAAAAAUGUCAAUGGGUGUGUUGUAUUUAUCAAAACUAAUGUAACCUUGGAGAAUACGACACAUUUUGAACGUCAAAAGUGAAAAAAUUGAACAACAUAGCAUAUAAUUACUUAAAACGUAAAGUAGAUUUCAAUUAAUUAAGUACAUGUUGUUUAAGUUGAGUAGCUUUUCCUGAAAGAAGAGGAGCACUUGAACUUCUUGUCUGGUUUUCGUUAUCUAAUUAUGUCAAUUAUAAUUGUAAUUUUCAUUGUAGUUUGUUCAAAAAAAAGUUCAUAUAACAACUACAAUUACAUGCGCCUCGGUCCCAAACAAGUUAGGAUCGUGACUAAUCCAUAAAGUAUAUUUCAAUUGUACCUGUUGAUUAUGUUGAGUAGCUUUGCCCUAAAAGAAGAGGAAUGGUUAAACUUCCUGGAUGUUGACCAACAACAUUACUAACUCUAGAUGGAUCUAGAAAAUUAUAAACAUUAGCAUUAUUUUGAAAACUUCCUCUUCUUCCUCUUCCUCUUCCUCUUCCUCUCCCUCACCUACCUUCGUCUCCUUUGAGUACGACUACUUGACAUGUUGUGUUGAUUCAAAACUUGAUCAUCAUCAACAAGUAGUGUAGUAUUUACAAUGGAAGAUAUUUAUUUAAGCUUUCUCCUUGAACUUGAUAACAUUCCUCCUCUUGUUGUCGCUGUUACAAGUUCAAGGGGAAAGCAGAAAUCAAUUUCAUCCAUCAAAAGUGCUACACUACUUAUUGAUAAUUAUCAAGUUUUGAAUCAACACAACAUCUCAAGUAGUAAUACUCAAAGGGGAUGAGGUAGGUGAGGGAGAGAAAGAGGAACAGGAACAGGAACAGGAAGAAGACGAUGGUCGUAAAAUAAUGCUAUUGUGGAUCAUUUUCAAGAUUCAUCUAGAUUUAGACAUGUUGUAGAUCUGAAUUAGGGAGAUACACAUCCAGGCCAUUCUCUUCUUUAAGAAAAAUCUACUAAACAUAUACCAACGGGUACAAUAGAAAUCUACUUUAUGUUUUAGUCAUGAUCCUAACUUUCUUUGGACUGAGGCACAUGUGUUAAUAGAUGUUAUAUGGAUUUUAUUUUUUAGACAAAACUAUAAUGAAAAACUCAAUUAUAAUAUAAGACAAAGAAAGAUAAGCAGGAAGUUCAAGUGCUCCUCUUCAUUCAGGAAAAGCUACUUAACUAAAACAUCUACUUAAUAAGUUGAAAGUCACUUUAUGUAUUAAGUAAUCAUAUGCUAAGUUGUAAAAAUAUUUCCCUUUUGAGGUUGCACAUAUGUCUUAUUCUAUAAAUUACACUACUUUUUGAGAACAACACACACAUCCAUUGAUAUUUUUAAAGAGUCCAAGCAGCAUAAUAAUGUCAUAUGCUACUAUUGGCAAAUUAUUUCUUCUGUAGUCCUUCAACUUCGAAUGUUCAAAAUCGUCUGCGACUGAGAAAUGUAACUUCUUGUACAUGCAUACUCUUCUAAUUAAACGUAUUUUCUAAUGAUAUCUCAAAGGAAAAUUCUUUUUACAUGGUUGGAAUCCGAGCUAAAUGUAGGUUGAAUUUUGUUAGUUAACCUGAAAUAAUUAUUUUUAUCUUGAACUAUAUGUUUAUGUAAAUCACACUGAUUCUCAAUUUGUUGAAACUUGGAACUUGGCAUGGUAAACAAUAAAUUCUAAAUAUUUUGUUGACUGUUGGACCCCCAAGAUCCAUGGGGCGAAUCUAUACUUGUCCUAAGAGAGUCAUUGACAACUCUUAGAUAAAAAUGCAGACUCACUUCACAUAGAGGACGACUAGACUUUCUAUGUGAUCAUAUAUAAAUAUAUAUAUAUAUAUAUAUAUAUAUAUAUAGACAUCAUUCUAACCACAAUUGACAAGGCAUAAUGUGGACUCCCUUCACAUAGAGGACGACUAGACUCUUCUAUGUGAUCAUACAAGCGUCUUCCUUCUUUAUUAGGAGUUUCAUCAAAAUAUUGUUCGGUUUUCAUCCCACCUUGAACCUUGAAAUCACCAUUGAUCAUUUCAUGAACCCUAUUAUGUUCAUAUUCCCUCACAUAUAAGAUGACGAGACUCUUCUAUGUGAUCAUAUAAGUGUCUUCCUUCUUCAUUAGGAGCUACAUCAAAAUAUUAUUCGAGUUCCAGCCCACCUUGAACUUUUAAAGAACCAUUGAUCAUUUCAUCAAUCCUAUCAUGUUCAAUCCUAUCAAUGUUCAACCAUAUUAUAAUGUUCAACUCUAUUAUCAUGUUUCACCCUAAUUUGGCCAUAUGGUGCAAAUUUACUAUGUUCAUCAAGUUCACAUUCCUAAUUAAGUUUAACUUAUAACAAAUCUAAAUUAUAAUAAAUUAUAAGUUCUAAUUAAGUUAGUUAUUCAAUUUAAAAAUUCUUUAACUUGAAAAUCACUUCAUCAAUUCCCAACUAAAUAAUAUUUGCACAAUUCACUUACACUCAAAAGUCAAAAUACUUGAUCAAUUACUAAUAGAAAAGAUAAAAGAUAGUCAUGGUAAAUAUAUUCAUCACAUUCCAACAUCUAUUUUGUACUCAAAACACUUCAAUUACUAACUUCUAACUUUAAAUUAAAAAUUCAAUAUCAACUCAAGCAAUACCCUAAUUCAAAGUAGUCCUAAAUCCUCAAAUUCAGACUAGUUCACAAUAAUUAUAAGAUCACUCAAAGAUAGUCAAUACAUAUAGUUGAAUUAAUACUACAAGUGAAACAACAAAUGGAGAACUCACACAUGCAUAUAAUUAAGUCAUAAGAUUGAUUUUAAAUGAGUUACUACUUGGAAAUACUAAUUUAAUCAUAAGAAUGAUUUUAAAUGAAUUAGUACCUAAUAAUUGAAUUUAAAUGUAACAAAAUAGACGAACCAUAUCGAAAAAAUGAAGGCAGUGCUUACUAUGUAGCAAUGACAAUGGAAGAUUAAUAUCAAUAAAUAUACAAUUACCGUGAGCUCAGAUCCUGAGGAUUUUGAAUCACUUGCCUCAUGAAAAGCUCCUUCAACUAUGAUUUUCAUUUGUCCAUCUAUUUAAACGACAACCUAAAUUGAAAUUUCAAUAAGAAAUUUGAAGAUAUUGUCACAUGUAUUUUCGAUAUAAAAAUUAAUUGGUAUACCUACAAGAAUAAAUAUUAUUUGUAUCAAGUCUUGAACAUAUCAUCAAAGACAUAAAUAAAUUUAAUUUAUGCAACUAUUAAUUCAAAGUUAUCUGAUACAAAAUCAAAUAUAUUUAAUGCAAGAGGAAUGAUAUUAUUAACAUACACUAAUAUAUACACUUCAUUUUAGUGAGUUAAGUUUGGAAGUAUUUAAUGGAAUAAAUUUAGAACCCUAAUUCUCAAUUAGUUCUUUCAUCAACCCACCCUUAAAUCAACAAGUGUUAAAAUCGAAUAUAUUCUUGAACAAGCUCAAUGAACCAACCAUAUAACAUAUAACAAUUCAUAUGAAGUUAUUUAAGAUUUUCUAUGUGAAUUCAAUUGAAUUGGAAAGGUAUAAAAGUUGAAGCUUAAAAAAUCCGAAAUUCACUAAACAUCAUGAUAAUGCAAUCAAUCUUGACAAAUUCAUAUCAUAUUUAAAUAGAAGUUAUUCAAAACAACUCAAAAGCCAAAUUAUGAUUUUUUACGGCACCGAUGAUUUUCAUACAUAUAGUAAAUUACCCAUUUUAAUUAUAAUCAUAGUAAAACUACAAGUAAAACAAAACAAAAGAAGUACCGAAAAUAAAAGAUAAUAAACAGCAAUCGGAAAAAGAAAAAUGCAAAAUUUAUAAAUGACAUCACAUAAAGUGUUUCCUUUAAAGAGAAAUCAUAAAUAUAAUCAAUUGUAAAAAAACCAAUAAAAAUGAAAAUUAAGAUUAAACAUCUAACAUGGAAAAAAGUAAGAAAUAAAGAGAAAAGAUAUACCUUCCACCUGAAUUGAGAUCUCAGAUUAAAUGAGGAACAAACUCGAUCCAAGAUUAAAGCAACAUUGUUAAUGACCCAGAUAAGGAGGCAAAGAUGUUGAAUCAUCCAAGGCGAGAGCAUUUCAGUUUAUUAGGUGAAAGGAAAGGGGAUCAAAAUGGUGUGGCAAAUGAGCAAACCCUAAUCGUAAGGGACAUGAAUAUAUGGAGAAUGUUGAGG
rnacentral:lncRNA from 1 species